UCGGGAAUAUUGCACAAUGGAGGAAACUCUGAUGCAGUGACGCCGCGUAUAGGAAGAAGGUUUUCGGAUUGUAAACUAUUGUCGUUAGGGAAGAGAUGGACAGUACCUAAGGAGGAAGCUCCGGCUAACUACGUGCCAGCAGCCGCGGUAAUACGUAGGGAGCGAGCGUUAUCCGGAUUUAUUGGGUGUAAAGGGUGCGUAGAUGGUUUAAUAAGUUAGUUGUGAAAUCCCUUGGCUCAACUGAGGAACUGCAACUAAAACUGUUAAACUUGAGUAUAGGAGAGGUAAGUGGAAUUCCUAGUGUAGCGGUGAAAUGCGUAGAUAUUAGGAGGAACACCAGUGGCGAAGGCGACUUACUGGACUAUAACUGACAUUGAGGCACGAAAGUGUGGGGAGCAAACA
rnacentral:rRNA from 1 species